UACGUAGGGUGCGAGCGUUGUCCGGAAUUACUGGGCGUAAAGAGCUCGUAGGUGGUUUGUCGCGUUGUUCGUGAAAACUCACAGCUCAACUGUGGGCGUGCGGGCGAUACGGGCAGACUGGAGUACUGCAGGGGAGACUGGAAUUCCUGGUGUAGCGGUGGAAUGACGCAGAUAUCAGGAGGAACACCGGUGGCGAAGGCGGGUCUCUGGGCAGUAACUGACGCUGGAGGAGCGAAAGCGUGGGGAGCGAAACAGG
rnacentral:rRNA from 1 species